GGGCGUUAAGUUGCAGGGUAUAGACCCGAAACCCGGUGAUCUAGCCAUGGGCAGGUUGAAGGUUGGGUAACACUAACUCGCGGACCGAACCGCCUCAUGUGGAAAAGUUAGCGGAUGACCUGUGGCUGGGGGUGAAAGGCCAAUCAAACCGGGAGAUAGCUGGUUCUCCCCGAAAGCUAUUUAGGUAGCGCCUCGUGAAUUCAUCUCCGGGGGUAGAGCACUGUUUCGGCUAGGGGGCCAUCCCGGCUUACCAACCCGAUGCAAACUGCGAAUACCGGAGAAUGUUAUCACGGGAGACACACGGCGGGUGCUAACGUCCGUCGUGAAGAGGGAAACAACCCAGACCGCCAGCUAAGGUCCCAAAGUCAUGGUUAAGUGGGAAACGAUGUGGGAAGGCCCAGACAGCCAGGAUGUUGGCUUAGAAGCAGCCAUCAUUUAAAGAAAGCGUAAUAGCUCACUGGUCGAGUCGGCCUGCGCGGAAGAUGUAACGGGGCUAAACCAUGCACCGAAGCUGCGGCAGCGACACUCAGGUGUUGUUGGGUAGGGGAGCGUUCUGUAAGCCUGUGAAGGUGUGUCGUGAGGCAUGCUGGAGGUAUCAGAAGUGCGAAUGCUGACAUAAGUAACGAUAAAGCGGGUGAAAAGCCCGCUCGCCGGAAGACCAAGGGUUCCUGUCCAACGUUAAUCGGGGCAGGGUGAGUCGACCCCUAAGGCGAGGCCGAAAGGCGUAGUCGAUGGGAAACGGGUUAAUAUUCCCGUACUUGGUGUUACUGCGAAGGGGGGACGGAGAAGGCUAUGUUGGCCGGGCGACGGUUGUCCCGGUUUAAGCGUGUAGGUGUGUGUUCCAGGUAAAUCCGGUUCACUUUAACACUGAGGCGUGAUGACGAGGCACUACGGUGCUGAAGCAACAAAUGCCCUGCUUCCAGGAAAAGCCUCUAAGCAUCAGGUAACAUCAAAUCGUACCCCAAACCGACACAGGUGGUCAGGUAGAGAAUACCAAGGCGCUUGA
rnacentral:rRNA from 1 species